UUUAGUCCUAAGGCGGAGGAGAGAAGAUAAGUGAAACAAGCUCACAAAGAGAGCGCAGGGUUUUGUGAGGAUUCACGGGUGGGGGCCUCACCCUGUCAGGAAAGGCCUUCCUGAGCAUCGGCAGUUACAGUAAGAUCAGAAGAAAGAGGAAGUGCUGCCGAAGCAGAGGAGAGUUUCUACCUGUGGAAAAUGUGUGGAAACAGACGAAAUGCAAGAGGAAGAGAAGGGGCAGCUCUGCGGAACUGAAAGUAGGAACCUUCCUCCUCAAAAAUCAAAGAACACAGUGGAUGCGAAAAUAUUCCAUAAAUGGAAAAACGUAGAUGUAGAGAAGAACUAAGCCACAUCUGU
rnacentral:lncRNA from 1 species